rnacentral:rRNA from 1 species
UACGUAGGGUGCAAGCGUUGUCCGGAAUUAUUGGGCGUAAAGAGCUCGUAGGCGGUUCGUCGCGUCGGCUGUGAAAUCCCGGAGCUCAACUCCGGGUCUGCAGUCGAUACGGGCGGACUCGAGUUCGGCAGGGGAGACUGGAAUUCCUGGUGUAGCGGUGAAAUGCGCAGAUAUCAGGAGGAACACCGGUGGCGAAGGCGGGUCUCUGGGCCGAUGACUGACGUGAGGAGCGAAAGCGUGGGAGCGAACAGG